rnacentral:pre_miRNA from 1 species
CCAUAGACAAACCACCAGCGAGGUAUAGAGUUCCUAUGUUCCUUUCGCUAGCCAUAGGAACUUCAUACCGUGCUCUUGGAUUGAUCUGA